AGCGAAGCAGCAACAUAUCAAGCUCAGAGCCUCAGAGCGCCAGCCAAGUCUUGCGGUCGCGAAGAGCAACGCAACAAGAUGGUGAAGCUCGCAUUCGGAAGCGUCGGCGACUCCUUCAGCGUCACCUCCAUCAAGGCCUACGUGGCGGAGUUCAUCGCCACCCUCCUCUUCGUCUUCGCCGGCGUGGGUUCCGCCAUCGCCUUCGGGCAACUGACGAAUGGCGGCGCGCUGGACCCUGCGGGACUGGUGGCGAUCGCGGUGGCGCACGCGCUGGCCCUCUUCGUGGGCGUCUCCGUGGCCGCGAACACCUCCGGCGGCCACCUGAACCCCGCCGUGACGUUCGGCCUGGCCGUGGGCGGCCACAUCACCGUCCUCACCGGCCUCUUCUACUGGGUGGCCCAGCUGCUGGGCGCGUCCGUGGCGUGCCUGCUCCUCAGGUUCGUGACCCACGGCAAGGCCAUCCCGACCCACGGCGUCUCCGGCGGCACCACCGAGCUGGAGGGCGUCGUGUUCGAGAUCGUCAUCACCUUCGCGCUCGUCUACACCGUGUACGCCACCGCCGCCGACCCCAAGAAGGGCUCCCUCGGCACCAUCGCGCCCAUCGCCAUCGGCUUCAUCGUCGGCGCCAACAUCCUCGCCGCGGGGCCCUUCAGCGGCGGCUCCAUGAACCCCGCCCGCUCCUUCGGCCCCGCCGUCGCCGCGGCCGACUUCGCCGGCAACUGGGUCUACUGGGUCGGCCCGCUCAUCGGCGGCGGACUCGCUGGCCUCGUCUACGGCGACGUCUUCAUCGGCGGCUCCUACCAGCAGGUCGCCGACCAGGACUACGCCUAAGUAGUGUGCUCCGUUCGUCUGGAUUCAGCUCAUCCAACGCAGGCGCGCGUUUCGAUCGGCGUCGUCAUUUGCUUUGCUCUUCAUUUCAUCACGUUAUGUAACGUGCCAAUGAUGUGUGUCGUCCUGGUCUGUUCCAUUCCGUCCUUGUAUUCAUUUCCCUUCUUUUUUCGGGGUAAAAUCGAUGUAAAGAUCUCAUCCGAUCUGCCGUUUUCGAUCGCCUUGGAGUGGGAAAAAACAGGUGAUUUUCGUUUCGACUUCGUUUAUGCAUGGAAUUCUUGGCUCCUUUUACGGUU
rnacentral:misc_RNA from 1 species